GGCCUUCGGGUUGUAAACUGCUUUUGUACGGAACGAAAAGGCCCUGGUGAACAACCGGGGUUGCUGACGGUACCGCAAGAAUAAGCACCGGCUAACUACGUGCCAGCAGCCGCGGUAAUACGUAGGGUGCGAGCGUUAAUCGGAAUUACUGGGCGUAAAGCGUGCGCAGGCGGACAUGCAAGACAGAUGUGAAAUCCCCGGGCUCAACCUGGGAACUGCAUAUGUGACUGUAUGACUGGAGUACGGCAGAGGGGGAUGGAAUUCCGCGUGUAGCAGUGAAAUGCGUAGAUAUGCGGAGGAACACCGAUGGCGAAGGCAAUCCCCUGGGCCAGUACUGACGCUCAUGCACGAAAGCGUGGGGAGCAAACAGGAUUAGAUACCCUGGUAGUCC
rnacentral:rRNA from 1 species